GCAAGUCGAGGGAGAAGCUUACUUCGGUAAGUGGAGACCGGCAGACGGGUGAGUAACACGUGGGAAUAUACCUAGUAGUGGGGGAUAACAGUUGGAAACGACUGCUAAUACCGCAUACGCCCUUCGGGGGAAAGAUUUAUCGCUAUUAGAUUAGCCCGCGUUAGAUUAGCUAGUUGGUAAGGUAACGGCUUACCAAGGCGACGAUCCAUAGCUGGUUUGAGAGGACGACC
rnacentral:rRNA from 1 species